ensembl:lncRNA
AGGUGAAGCUGGGUGACUCAGGGUGACCCCGGUGACCCCGGUGAUGUCCCCGUGUCCCCAGGUGAAGCUGGGUGACUCAGGGUGACUCAGGGUGACCCCGGUGACCCUGGGUGACUCAGGGUGACCCUGGUGACCCCGAUGUCCCCGGUGACCCCGGUGAUGUCCCCGUGUCCCCAGGUGAAGCUGGAUUUCGUGGCGCCGGCGCCGGGCCAGCAGCACUACACCCUUUACUUCAUGAGCGACGCCUACAUGGGCUGUGACCAGGAGUACAAAUUCAGCGUGGACGUCAAGGAGGCCGAGAGCGACUCCGACUCCGACUGACACCCAGAUCCCGCCGAAUAACCCCAAAAACACCCAAAAAACAACCCCAGAAUCCUCCAGAAUCCCAAAAAAACCCCACAGAAUCCAAAAAAAACCCCAAAAAACCCCACAGAACCCCAAAAAACCCCACAGAAUCCCAAAAAACCCCACAGAACCCCCAAAAAAACCCAAAAAACAACCCCAGAAUCCUCCAGAAUCCCCAAAAAAACCCCACAGAAUCAAAAAAAACCCCCAAAAAACCCCACAGAACCCCAAAAAACCCAAAAAACAACCCCAGAAUCCUCCAGAAUCCCAAAAAAUACCCCACAGAACCCCAAAAAACCCCACAGAACCCCAAAAAAUCCCCACAGAAUCCCAGAAAAACCCAAAAACACCCCACAGAACCCCAAAAAAACCCAAAAAAACCCCACAGAACCCCAAAAAAACCCCAAAAAAAACCCCAAAAAACCCCACAGAACCCCAAAAAAACCCCCAGAACCCCAAAAAACCCCACAGAAUCCCCCAGAACUCCAGAAAAUCCUACAGAAUGCUCCAGAAUCCCAAAAAAUCCCACAGAAUUCCCAAAAAAAACCCCAGAGUCUCGGUAAAAUCCCACCAAAAAUGGGAAAAAAACCCGCCCAGAUGCUGUGAAAUCCCACAAGAUCCCAUCAGAUCCCAUAAAAUCCCAUCGGAUCCCAUAAAAACCUUCCCAGAUCCCCUCGGAUCCCUCGGAUCCCCCGGAUCCCCCCGGAUCCCCCUCCCGCGUUCCCGUUGUGUUCCAGGGUUCGGAUGUUUUGUACAGAGUUUUUUUAGGUUGGAAUAAACUUCGAGAUCCGACUCGGCCUCGGUGCUGAUCCCAAAUUCCCCGAUCCCAAAUUCCCCGAUCCCAAAUUCCCCAAUCCCAGAUUCCCGGGUCCCAAAUUCCCAGAUCCCAAAUUCCUGGAUCCCAAACUCACGGAUCCCAAACUCCUGGAUCCCAGAUUCCCGGAUCCCAAACUCUUGGAUCUCAAACUCCCUGAUCCCAAACUCUUGGAUCCCAAAUUCCCAAAUCCCCAGAUCCCAAAUUCCCGGGAUCCCAAACUCCCAAAUCCCAGAUUCCCGGAUCCCAAAUUCCCAAACUCCCGGAUCCCAAACUCUUGGAAUCCCAAAUUCCCACACCCCAAACUCCCGGAUCCCGAAUUCCCAGAUCCCAAAUUCCUGGAUCCCAAACUCUUUGAUCCCAAACUCUUGGAAUCCCAAAUUCCCGGGAUCCCAAACUCCCUGAUCCCAAAUCCCAAAUUCCUGGAUCCCAAAUCCUAAACUCCCGGACCCCAAAUCCCAAACCCCGGAUCCCAAACCCCGGAUCCCAAACCCCCGGAUCCCAAACUCCCGGAUCCCAAACCCCCGGACCCCGAAUUCCCGGAUCCCAAACUCCCGGAUCCCAAAUCCCAAACCCCGGAUCCCAAACCCCCGGAUCCCAAACCCCGGAUCCCAAA